AACUAAGUUGGUUAUUGGUAUGAGCUUUCGUGUGCAUGUACACUUCUUCAGAUACACUGAAACAGAAGAAGAAACAAUCUGAAGAAGUGUGCAUGCACAUGAAAGCUCAUACCAAUAACCAACUUAGUUGG
rnacentral:miRNA from 1 species